GGUGGGGGCAAAGCACUUCAGUGUGGAAAGAGAAGUAGAGCAACAGAUACCGACGCUUACCUCUGUCUCCAGAAAUGGUUUAGCACCAAGAAAAAGUUACAUUCCACUGUUUUUGGAGUCCAGUGAAUUGGAAAGCAAGUUAUUCAAAUGCUACUUGUAGCGUUCCUUGAGCAUAAUGGAGUUGGAGAAGAGAACAUGAGCUGGCUCUAGCUGUGGAGGAGAGCAGACUGGGACAGGGACACGAGCUGGUAAGAGCACUGUGCAGAAGCUUCUGCAGAGGAAGCCAUUUCUGCUGCGGUUGAGCCCUCGCCUGGAGCUCAGCAAACCUGCAGGGGUUUCAUGUGGUACCUGUUCUGGGGCACCACCUGCUGGUGCCUCCUCAUCUGUCUGCUGAAUAUGGGGAAAGUUAACUUUGACGUCCUGUCUGCCUCCGUGACUACUCAGAAGUCCUGGUCCCCAGUUCAUCAGACUAACAGCUGAAGACAAGUUACUGGUACCAUAGCAGGGCCAUCUCCUGCUGGAUGGCAGAAACCUCUGGGUAGGAGCAACAGCCUGCCUGUCAUCUCCAGCUGCCACUGCACGCCUUCUGUUGGCAUGAAUAGUUAUUGCUGAAAAAGUGACAUGAGAUACUGCUGUGUACAGUGAGUGCCUUAGGCCCUGUGUUGCAAGAAGCAUACGGUCAGCUUAUGUGCUAAGUGGAAAGGAGAAAGUCCCACACCAAACAGAUGGAAACUGUUAAAGAUGCUCCAGCCCAGAAGGACCGUGCAAGUCUGUGCUGGGAAGAGCGUAUCUUUGCACAGACCAAGCCACAGCAAGAGGUACUCAGGACCUCCCAGAGUCAGCCCGUAAAGCCCUGUGCUGCAAAUGAACUGUUGUCUUCCUUCCUGAGGUGAUGGUGUUUUUCAAGAGAAAAAAAAAGCAACAACCAGAUGAAGCGAUUAGUCACUGGCUGUAUUUGCUUGUUUCAGAGGCAGCGGUAAACUCUGCAGUAAAAUGACGGCUAACCAUCUGGCUCUUUUCACUUUGACGGUACGACUUAGAAAGAGUGCUAGUGAAAAAAAACCCAGCAGUUAUAUUGAGUGCAUUACUUUUUGCACUGCAGUUGUUUCUAGCAAUGAGAUGGAAUGGAAUAUACCUGUUUUGGUCAUGCUUCUCUAUGUUUUUUUGCGCAUCAAAAAUGCACCCAACCGUAAAUCUUAGGAGGAGGCUAACAGCUUUGUGAAAAGAGAUGGUCAAUUGUCUUUGAAAGCUGCUUGUAUUUCAUUGCUUUUGGUGAAGUUGCAGUCAGCACCAUACUGAAACAGAAGAAGAGCAUACAGAAAAUAAUCAUCCUCUCCAUACUGAUGAGUUUUGUUGUGUUAGGAGCAAAGUUGUGCUAUCCAAGAUGAACACUUCAGUUUGAGCUGUGCUCAGGUGAGUUUGUGCGUAGGGGGCAGGGAUUGAUGGAGUGAAUUAAAAUAUGCCCCAUCUGCACAUUGGACAGGAAAAAAAGAGAAAAGGGUGAAUUCCCAUUUUCGUUUUGAGUCAAAAAAUGAACGUAGUAAAAAGUAGAUGCUUAGAAACCACAGGCCCAGCUCCAGAGGAUACGUAGCUUGUUCCAGCUGAUGGCUGUGAACUGCCACCUUUACAUUCAUGCAUGGUUUCUGCAACAGCUGUCAAGGAACUGUGUCAUGCCAUACCAUGCUGGGGCACUUAUGUGGCACAGUGAGAAAUAGUGGAUGCAGAGAAGCAACGUGAGAAUACACAGGAGGAUGUGGUCUGCCUCCCCUUGAAGUGACUCCACAUAUCUGCUUGCAGACCAGCUCUUCAGCUUCUAUUGUGCACUACUACACUGAGUGCUGCAAACCACUGUACCAGCCAUCAGAUGCUUGUGCUUCAGCUCCUGCAGCAGAGAAGAGGCUCUGUUGUCACACUGUGAAACCAAAGGUCAGGUUGAUGCAGGAGCCACCCCUGCAAACCUCAGGUUGUAGUAACACAACUGCCUUCUUCAGCAGCGAGGCCAUUUAAAGAACUUUCUACUCCAUGUCACCGCCAUUCUCUUGUGGCUCUUUGCCACAGUGUAUUGGUCUUUCAGGAGCCUCUGUUGCAGCUGCUGGUAUCAAUGAAACGAUCCAAGUUAAAAAUCCUUCUAGCAAACAACUUCAGAGUUUGCUUGUUCGUUUUACUUUGUUUUGAUUAGAACUAUUUUACUGCCAACUCUGCCUUCUCCAUAGCACAACUGACAGGUUUACAACCAGCAAUGCAUUGCUAGAAGUCAGAAACUCCUCUUCUACUGGCUCUGCUGCAGAUCAAAACCAUGGAUCGCCUACGCAACAAGUACCUCCUAGCACACAGGGCUGAGGGGGCCACUGGGUAUCACUGAGCAGCAGUAUUCCAGGAACAGUAAUCAGUUGCAAGUGCAGAUAGAAUGAAGCCCUUUCACUGUGGCUGAAAUACAGUUUCUGACAGAAUCAUUUUAAGGAAGAGAAUUUAAGAAAGUCUUAACUCAGCAGCCUGGUCUACAUUUAAAACUUGUAGGUAUGAUGUCACCAUUUUGUUGAGUUUUGUUUUGUUUGUUUGUUUUUGCCAGGCAGUUAUAUCAAUGACAUCUCUGAUGUGGUUGCAGCUAUGCCAUUAUAGAAUUAUCUUAAAUAGGAAUACUAACUGUCCCAUUUCUCAUACUCUUCGAAUAUAAUGCAAUUUGUUAUGACUUUAUACUUCAGUAAGUGUACUAUUUCAUUGUUGACAGCAGGUUAGGGAAUGCUCGGAGAUGGCUGCCUAAUACUACACUUAACAGAUAAAAUAUAAAUGCAGUAUCUCUGGAAAAAAAAAAAAAGCUUUACGUGGUCAAUUUUUUCAGAAAUCGUUUGGUCUGCCUUCAUCUCCGACCAGAUGCAUGUAACGGACGUGGAUGUGUACGCCUGCAUCCACAGAUAUAUCUUUUAUAUGUGCACUCAUACACAUUUUAAAAGCUACAUGAAACAGUUGCUUUGCAUAGUGAGUUUCAUUUUUUUUCACAGGUCAGCACCUUUAGCGAGCCCUGGAAAAACUAUAGUGCGAUCAGUCAUCGCACUGAAGCAGCAGCAGUUGGCAGUCUUGGACAAAAAGCUGAAUGCUGUGGUUUCAGUAACUUAUCAUUGAAACCUUGUGGUUCUGUGUAGGAGGUUGCACAAGCUGGACACGUUUGACAUCCUUGUUUCUGAGCGGUGAAAUCUGUACAUCUAAUUUAUGAAAAUUAUCUCUGGUGUGAUUUUAUUCUUUUUUUUUUUUUUUAAUGAAGUCAACAUUUUAUUUUCCCUGCAUUCAGUGGAAACAAUAAUGGAAAUGUUUUAAGAUGUACUGUGAACCCAUUUUGACCUCAAAAGGGAGAGUAAUAAAAAUAUUCUUGAUUUUGAUUAAGUUCUAAGAAGGAAAUUAAAAUUAAAUACUUGGAGUUGCAGUUGGGAAGAAAGCAUUUCUCAGGUGGGGAAGCAGACACAGAAAUGAACUGUGAGAAGUCACAUAGGUGUUAUGAAAUGAGAAUCUCCCAAGUGGGAAUAGGAUAUUAAAAAAAAAAAAAAAAAGCAACACAAUGAAGUAAGGCAGUUUAGAAUAAACCAUGGUAUCUGUCGUCUUUCAGAUGGUCUAUGCAAACUGGUAAGGUUACGUGCAGGGCAAAUGCAAGACGUAUCUGCAGCUUAAACAGCUGAAGUCACAUCAAACAAGCAAAACAAUGUAAGUCAGUCAUCACUCGGUCAGUUAAUGUAUUUUUUUCUUUCGUUUUCUUUAGUUUUAUGCUAAGUUUGGUGAAAUAAUGCAGUUCCUUGACGAGUGAAAUGUGCUAAUGUUGGUGCAAAGGGCAUCACAGCAGGUAUGCGUAACUGGGAUUGGAAGGCGGAGAAAACAGAUUUCUUGGCUUUUCCAUGCUGUGUAGCUUCGGAAGAAAUACAUCCACAUCUGCAUUGCCAAACUGGAACUGGGAUGCACCAUGGUCUCUUCUCUUCCUCAUUUCCACUUCUGCCUUAUGCUCUGAAACCUGAGCUGAUAAUCAUUACAACUGCAGCUGCAAUUGUGUGCUUGUUGCAGACUUAUCACAUGACACCAGAUUCUUUGAGCAUACCGUGCUGUUUCCCUGAACUGACUUGUGGGAAGCUGAGAGAAAAAUGAGGAUCCGCUGCGGGUGCUAGUUGAAAUCAGUGGACUUGAUCAAUCCUUUUUCCUCCAUAAUCAUUGCAAGCAUGGAAAAUGUAGAUAACCAAAGAAGUACUGUCUUUUUGACCAUCUGAAAUGUACCUGGAAUGAGCUUGCACACUGACCCAGACAAAUGUGUGAUGCCCUGGUAGGGUGGAUGUGACCUACCCAGCCUUCACCUUCAGCCCAGAACUUCACCCAGUGCCAUCAGCAGAGCCAUUUCUGGCAACUGUGUAUGUAUGUAGCCCAGCCACAAGCAAAAGAAAAUAUUAAGAGCUGAAAUUGGUAGGAACCUUGUAUUUUACUUGCCCUUUGGAUCGUCAAAAAGUGCACAGACAGCAGUUCUUUUAGCCUCACCACCUUGAUCUUCUGUAGUUGCGUGUCCAUGCUGUGCACCAUACAAUAAGAAGAUGCCGAUUGGACUCUACAGUCUGCAAAAUAAUUAUAUUUGAUGUUGCUACACAAAGGGUGACAACACGGAGGGAAAUGGAAACAAUAAAGAUGGGAACUGGAAAACUCUUUGCUUUUGUUAGAAUGCUUUUGUCAGAAAUGGCCUAAAGGAACAGAGGAGAUGAAUAUGCAAUUUCCAAAACAGUAUGGGGAGAUCAAAGGAGGCUGACGUUCUUUCAGAUUGCUGUUGUGGUGGAUCUGCAGGAGGAGAUUAAAGACAAACAUUACUCUAUUUUGGAAGGUGCCAUAAAAAAUACUGCAUGUUGAAGAAAGCAAUAGACCCUGUAGCUUUCCUCCUGUUCUCCUCUUGCCACUGCCCUCCACAUUUCUGUGUUGGCCAUGCUGAGUUUUCUUGAGAUAAAAGCCAUCAUUCAGUUCACUUAAAUCAUCCUUACACUGAGCAAAGAUUGAACUGUUUUACCUUCUGAUGUAGUCAAAUGCCUUAGAAGCUCUCCCUACUCAUUCUCUGCCUUGCCUUGUUGUCUCUUCUGUUGCUAGAUGUAGUUCAGUGCCUAAGAAUCAAGCUAAGCAUAUUUUUCCUCUUACCUCUUCAUCAGUUCUGAUUUGAUUGUAUCGAUUUUAUCCAAUUUCUGUUGAAAUGAAUAACUUGAAAUAUCAAAAUAUUCCAUGUUGACACUUUCACAUGAGCAUUUCAAUUUUCUGUUUAUAAUAUUUCAGUUUGCAGUUUUGUUUUCUUUAAUAGUUUUUAUGAGCUGGGAAAUAACUUUCUCUUCAUAGUCUAAUGUAGAAUAUUAAUCCUGAAGUGAGUUUCUUCUGCUUUGUCAUCUCAGUAACUGCAGUGUGUUUUGUGCCACUGCAUACAUCUUCCUGCAAAUGAAAAGUUCACCCCAGCACCCUGCUUUAGGCAACCAGUGCAACCUUUACCAGUCAUUCUCUUGGAAAAAUCUGGAAAAGCUGUAAAAAGCUUGUGUGGCUUAGGGCAAACCUGGCAAGCAUAUAUCUGACUUAGAUCUAGAGGCUGGAGAAAGGCUGAUGUUCUCCUACUUCAGUAAUGCUUUUCUUCUUCUAACAGGACCAGAAUAAGUUUCUUUGUUCGUUAACAGGCCAAGCUAAGGAAUCUGACUUACCAGCUUUUGGGACAAGCAGUCAUUUCUUUUGUUGUUGUUUCUUUUUUUCUCCUUUACAAAGUUAAUUAGUGUGACUUUUGGAAUUUGAAGUGUGCCUUUAUAUUUAACCUGCUGAUUGAUGUUUUACAGAAAGGCCUAUUUAACCUGUUUACUUUCAAACAUUAAGAUAAUAAUCAAGAGAAGCCAAUAUUUUAUACAAUAAAAUCUUUAUACCUCCUUAUUUAUGUAAAAUAUUCUUUGCUAUUGUUUGUCAUCUUCCGUAAGUUAAGUGGAAGAUGGCCUUGUUUGGGUCGAUACGGACUGCUAUGCAAUACUGGUUCUGUGGAACUGCACAGACUUCUUUGUGCUUAGGGGAAAUGACAUAUAGGAACUUUAGUUAUCUAUUUUUCAAUUCCUGUUUUAUCCAUUGACUGGAAAGAACAAGCAAGAUGCUGGAAGGACAGUGAGCACUAUGACUGACCCUUGCUAUGGACUUCUUCUAAAAAAAUCUGUACUCCCACCCUUCUUGAAGGUAUUUAGUGGAGAUCAUGAUGUGGGUUACUCAAGGCUUGCUUGAGGAAAAGCCUCUAGACCAGCUCUGCAUUUCUUCAGUUUAAAUGAAAUGUCCCAAACCAGAAUAUGAAUGAAGAUUGCAUAGAAUCAUAGAAUGGUUUGGGUUGGAAGGGUCCUAUAAGAUCACAUUGUUCCAACCCCCAGCUACAGGCAGGGAUACCUCCCUCUAGACCAGGUUGCUCAAAGCCCCAUCUAGCCUGGCUUGGCUCCCUUCCAGGGAGGGGGCAUCCACAACCUCACUGGGCAACCUGUUCCAGUGUCUCACCACCCUCACAGUGAAGAAUUUCUUCCCAAUAUCUAGUCUAAACCUACCCUCUUCCAGUUUAAAGCCAUUUCCCCUCAUCCUGUCACUACCUGCUCUUACAAAAAGUCUCUCCCCAGCUUUCCUGCAGGCCCCCCUCAGGUACUGGAUUUCUGUAAGGACGAUACUGCAGUUUGGUAAGAAUAAGGCCAGAUAAGAGGUAAGAAAGAGAUUACACUGGUUUGAACCAGAGCACCGAGUCCACCCCUGUGUUGUUCUUCAGUCUAGGACUGAGAAAGCUUUUCAGAUCUGAUUAGUCAUUUGUGUUAAGUGCAAUAAAUGUCAGAGAAACUAAUACCAAAAAACAAAACAAAACAAAACAAAACAUUCAGUAAAUGUGAGGCAUAGCUGCUCUCUAGUGGACUUGUGAAUAGUGUCAGCAAUGUAAAUGUAGUUAACAUCCGCAGAAAAUAAUUAUGUAGAUGCUUUUGCUGAGAGACAGAAAGAAGAUGAAAUCUUACAUGAGUUCAGCUCCUGCUUCAUUUUCUUGCUGUCUCUCUUCCCUAUCUAGCAGACUUAUACCAUGGUUGCAGUGAAGUUGUAGAAUGCCACAGUGACUUAAAAACAGGUAUCUAAUGUCCAAUGCUGUGGUUUGCAGCAUUUUGUUAACCUAUGUGUCAUUGGUUUAUUAGCAGGUGCCAGUGCUUCCCCUAAGCAUCAGACCAGAGCUGCAAAUAUCCUAGAGCUAAGGAAAGCUUUUAUCAGAAAAGGUGAGAAGGUGUACAAAGUACAAAGGCUUAUUUCCUCCUGCUAAUGCUUUACAGAAAGAAAGCAGAGAGAAAAAAAUAGCUAGCGCCUACUGGAUUUUGCCUCUGGGGAAAGCGAGGUCCACUCCGACUCCAGAGAAACUCUGCUGAUCAAAGUCAAAUGUGUCAGUGAACAAAAGCAUGAGAGAAUGCAUGCAGAGGACCUCUACCCAGCAGGGUCUGGGCUGUGUGUAGCACAGAAUGGUUCUCAGCCUGCCUACACACCCAGGCAGUGUUGCGCUUCUGCUCUGCACCUCUGCAGAUGCUUUACUGACUCAGUGUUGAUGUAGCUCUGUGCUGCACGUCAAGGAAUCCUCUUACAUCCACCAAAUGCCCCCAGAAUUGAUGUUCUUUCUGUAUUGAUGUCCUGAUGGGUAAACCCUAGUAGAAUUUCAGUAUAAAUCCAUUGGUUACAUUUCUUUAUUGCAAUAGCAUAAGCAAAAAUCAGUGUCAGAGUUCACAGACAGCCUUGCAAUAACCUAGGAACCAAAUAAUGUGUCUCAGUCCCACUGAAAAUUUAUGGAUGUGACUGAAAAAUUAGUCUUCAAUAUGAACAACGUGAUAUCUAUGAGAAAAUUACCUGUACUUAACCCAAAGUAGUUUUUUAUAUUUGCAAAAAGGUUUGUUUAAGAUAUAGUAUCUAUUUUACAAGCAGCCUUAGAAAUAGCCCGGACAUCCUUUUUCUUAGACUGUGAUAUAAAUUAUGGAGAAAAGUAUUCCCACUGUAAAGAGGUCUAGUCAAAUACUGAAGAAAUAAAAAGUAAUCUUUAUUAUGAAGUCUUACACCACCUCAGUCAAUAAUCUGUGUCAGCUUUACCUUUAAUAACAAGCUAUUGUGGAAUAGUGGUAAAGACACUGUAUUUGGAGUUGUAUUACCUAAUUCAAUUUUAAGUGGGUAAGGCCACCUUAUCCCACAGAAAAUUAUGAAACAGAGAAGAGAAAAAAAAGGAAUGAGUUGGCACAUGGCUCCUCUUGGUGGUUCUCUGCUUGUUUCAAGGGGGAGUAUUUUAUGCUGCCUGGAUAAGGUCUGAUCCCUCAGCAAGACACUACUUCUAGUAGUAGUAUGUACUUUCUGCAAUGGAAAAUAGAUGUUGCAGUAAAUAUAUGCUGUACUGCAAUCACUUACAGGACUUACUUCUUAUAGAACACUAGUGUGGAAGAUAGAAGGAAGGGCUUAGGGCACUUUCAGUCACUUGUAGUAGACACAGCAUCCCAUGUCGGUGCAUCUACAUCAACAAGAAGUGUCCAUCAGUAGAGCUCAUUCUACCCAGCAAAGGCAUUUAAUCUUCCCAAAGCUGUUGGAAGAUUUCAACUACAGGUCAUCUGUAUGCCAUUGGAACACUGUAGCUAUAUGAGCAAGUCCUAUUAAAUAUAGAAUUGUGUUGCAUCCUUCUCUUCAGCGGACUGUUGCCCAGGAAAAAGAUCCUUGAAUGAUAACUGGGUAAUCUGGAUAGAAUUACACCUCGACUGGUGCUGUUAAACUUUCUAUCUAGAAUCAGGUGCUUUUUUCAUUAUUGGCUGUAAAAAGAAGCACGUGGGAACAGUGCUUCUGUGUUCCAUUGAAGGCCAGGUUGGCUGGGGCCCUGGGCAGCCUGAUCUGGUGGUUGGCAGCCCUGCCCAUGGCAGGGGGUUGGAACUAGAUGAUCCUUAAGAACCUUUCCAACCUAAGCCAUUCUAUGAUUCUUUCAUCAGCACUGCAGAAGUGUAUGAGGCAUGGUUCUGUGGGGUCGGCAAACACCCAGAACAUAUGCAACUGCUUCCAGCCUCUUCCAAACACCAAGCUCUUUCCCACUGCUGUGAGUGAAUCCCAGCCACCAGCUAAACACCCACACAGGAACUCGCUCCCUCCUGCAGCUGGAUGCAGGAGGAACAAAAGCAAAAAAAAAAAAUGUGUCUGAACACAACACUUUGUAAGUGAAUGAAAGAGGGGGUAAAAAAGAAGGUAAAGGCAGCUUCACCUCUUCCUUGGCCAACAGGUCUGAGGAAGGUUUGCCUUUCUCCCCUCUGCCCUGGUGAAGUCACAUCUGGAGUACUGUGCCCAGUUCUGGGCUCCUCGGUUCAAGAAGGACAGGGAUCUCCCAGAGAGCGCCUGGUGGAGGGCCACAAAGAUGAUGAGGGGUCUGGAGCAUCUCCUUUAUGAGGAAAGGCUGAGUAACCUGGAUCUAUUCAGCCUGGAGAAGAGGUUGAGAGGGGAUCCUAUCAAUGCUUGUAAGUGUCAAGAGGCUGGGGCCAGGCUCUUUUUUGUGAUGCCCAGCAACAGGACAAGGGGCAACAACUAGAACGCAGGAAGUUCCAUAUGAGCAUGAGAAAGGAAUUCUUUACUAUAGGGGUGACGGAGCACUGGAACAGGCUGCCCAGAGAGGUUGUGGAGUCUCCUCCUCUGGAAAUACUCAAAACUUGCCUGGACACUUGGAAUCAUACUGUAGGGAAUUUGUCCUAGCAAGGAGUUGGAUUUGAUGAUCUUUAGAGAUCCUUUUCAUCCCCUACAAAUCAGUGAUUCCUGCAAGAAGGAGCCAGCCAGUCUCUUAAGCAGUGGCUACCCUGGAAGACAAAACUCUGUGGAUUUAAUUGCUGAAUAUGAUAUUAUAAAGUAUGGAACAUCUCUUUGGCCACUUCUUCAUGAGAGCUGAUGCUGAGAGGAGCACCAAGGAUUGUCCUGCCAGCCUCCAUCCUGUGGCUGUUGCUCUUCCCUGGCGCCCUGACUCCCUGCCAGCUGUGGCACAUGAACAGCCCCCCCCACCGAAAGCUGCCUUUAGAUAUAGGAGGUGAAAGCAUCCUAAACCGUAAAGACAUAAAAGAAAGAAGCUAUGGGUGAAGACAUUUGCCCUUUGACAUUAUGAUGCCAGCAUGCUUUCCUAAUUCAUGCAAAGUCAAUUCAUGUUCAAUUUAUUUCAGCUUUGUAAGCUGAUCCAGUGCUUUCACAAUCACCUCAGCAGUGUUAGAGCAAUUAAUGUCCCAAGUCCAUGGAGCACAGGAAAAGAGGACAAGCUGGCAUACGUGUGGUAAUAUUACUAAACCAGAAGGAGGAUGCUUAGAAAAAUGCAUGCUCAUGUUGAUAUAGCCUGAAUGAUUUUCAGUAUCUUCUUAUGAAAGAAUACAAAUAAAGUCUUGACUUUUGCAGCCUUUAUCAACCACCAGAUCCAUCCCUUAGGGGUGGAAAUGGUGUAACAAAAUAGUUUACUUGAAAAAAGUUCAAACUGGAAAAACAAAAAUAGGAAAUGCUUUUUCUCUGUUUAGUAAAGCUAGCAGGUUGUUCUGAAGAAUAGCCUUGAUCUGUAAAAAUAUGUCAGCCUGAACCGUGCAAAGGCCAAAAUAUAUAUUUGAAAGCUAAUAUUUUCUAUUUCCUCUUAGUUCAGCUUCCUGUAUAAUGAGCCCAAGUUGUUUAUUCUUCUGAAUGAUGCAAUGGGUUAACGGAUGGUAUGUGGGUUAUCAGUAAGGAAAUCUGAAGGUACAAGGACCAUAACAGUACCUUUUGUUUCACUUUGAUUAAACUGGUGGAAUUCCGGGUAAAUGGAAAAUUGUGAGGGCGUAUAGCCUUCAUUUUAUCAAGAGGAUACAGUAGGAAGUAACUUAAAACACAAAGUAUCGUAUUAUCUCUUACUUCUAAUUAAUGAAAUGCCCUGAAGAAGUCUUUCAACUUAAAACCCAUGCACUCUUUUUACAAAAGAUGAAUCAGUCCUGCCUGCAAAGGCUGAGAUUUAAGGAGAUGUGAGUGCUUAGGGGAAAGAUUUGGUCCAUGUAUAUUCAAGAACCAAGAUAAGUGAUCAUGAGGUGACCAUUCCCAAAUUUAACUUGCACAAGUAGCUGAGUUUUCUUCUCAAGCCUCCUUUGUAUGGCAGUCAGCCUUGUACUUUUUACGUACUUUAGAAACCUAGGUAGAUUUAGAGUAUUUAAAAUGAAACAGUUUUUCUAAGUGUCUUUUCUUUUCCUCCCUUUUUUUGCUUCUUAGAGAGCGUGCAGAGAAAGUUCAGUUGCAUUUUAGAAAUAGCAUCGGUGCACAGUGAAGUUGCCCUCCAGCCUGAGAGCUUCAGUAUGAGUGCUGCCUACACAUAGGAGCAUGGCAGAGCUUUCCCCACAGGGACCUCACCAGGCCAGGCACUGCUCAAGCCCUUGGUGCAAUCCAGUCUGCUCCUCUCCAGGAUUUCUUCAAAAUUAUUCCAAAAAAGACUGUGAGUUAAUCAAGCACAGUUGCUGAGAAGCGGCCCAUACUCCUCUGGAGCCCCGUGGCAGCCCCCACAGCGUGUUCCCUGCCAGCCCCCAGCUCUGCAGGUCAGUGUGGCACUGGG